rnacentral:rRNA from 1 species
AAUGAACGCUGGCGGCAUGCUUAACACAUGCAAGUUGAACGAACUAUUAGGGCUUGCUCUAAUAUGUUAGUAGCAGACGGGUGAGUAAUGCGUAGGAAUCUACCCAUCAGUACGGAACAACAUUCGGAAACAAAUGCUAAUACCGUAUAACCUCUUAGGAGAAAAGAUUUAUCGCUGAUGGAUGAGCCUGCGUCAGAUUAGGUAGUUGGUAGGGUAAUGGCCUACCAAGCCUGCGAUCUGUAGCUGGUCUGAGAGGAUGAUCAGCCACACUGGGACUGAGACACGGCCCAG